rnacentral:rRNA from 1 species
UGGCUCAGGACGAACGCUGGCGGCACGCUUAACACAUGCAAGUCGAACGGAGAACAUUGAGCUUGCUUAAUGUUCUUAGUGGCGGACGGGUGAGUAACACGUGAGUAACCUGCCUCUGAGAGUGGGAUAGCUUCUGGAAACGGAUGGUAAUACCGCAUAACAUCAUGGAUUCGCAUGUUUCUGUGAUCAAAGAUUUAUCGCUUAGAGAUGGACUCGCGUCUGAUUAGCUAGUUGGUAAGGUAACGGCUUACCAAGGCGACGAUCAGUAGCCGGACUGAGAGGUUGAUCGGCCACAUUGGGACUGAGACACGGCCCAGACUCCUACGGGAGGCAGCAGUGGGGAAUAUUGCACAAUGGGGGAAACCCUGAUGCAGCGAUGCCGCGUGGAGGAAGAAGGUUUUCGGAUUGUAAACUCCUGUUGAAGAGGACGAUAAUGACGGUACUCUUUUAGAAAGCUCCGGCUAACUACGUGCCAGCAGCCGCGGUAAUACGUAGGGAGCGAGCGUUGUCCGGAAUUACUGGGUGUAAAGGGAGCGUAGGCGGGAUGGCAAGUCAGAUGUGAAAACUAUGGGCUCAACCCAUAGACUGCAUUUGAAACUGUUGUUCUUGAGUGAGGUAGAGGUAAGCGGAAUUCCUGGUGUAGCGGUGAAAUGCGUAGAGAUCAGGAGGAACAUCGGUGGCGAAGGCGGCUUACUGGGCCUUUACUGACGCUGAGGCUCGAAAGCGUGGGGAGCAAACAGGAUUAGAUACCCUGGUAGUCCACGCCGUAAACGA